rnacentral:precursor_RNA from 1 species
CCGGGUGCUGUAGGCUCUGACCUGGGAUGCUUUGGGCAAUGUUUCAGUGGGUCCUGGGGGAGCAGGGAGAGCUCUGCA